AGCGAACGCUGGCGGCAGGCCUAACACAUGCAAGUCGAACGAACUCUCCGGAGUUAGUGGCUGACAGGGGAGGAACACGGGGGAACGUGCCUGUUGGUUCGGAAUAACACAGGUAAACGUGGGCUAAUACCGAAAGUGUCCUGCGGGGGAAAUAUAUAACGACAUGGGUGAGGCCGGCGACUGUUUAGCUAGUUGGGGAGGUAACGGCUCAUCACGGGGAAGAUCGGUAGCUGGGUUGAGAGGCUGACCCGCCACACUGGGACUGAGACACGGCCCAGACUCUUACGGGAGGCAGCAGUGGCGAAUCCAGCGAAAUCGGGGAAAGCAUGACGCCGCCAGGCUGCGUGAAUGAUGAAGUUCUUAGGAUUGUAAAAUUCUUUAACCGGGGACGAUAAUGACGGUACCCGGAGAAGAAGCCCCGGCUAACUUCGUG
rnacentral:rRNA from 1 species